AUUGAACGCUGGCGGCAGGCCUAACACAUGCAAGUCGAACGAGUGGCGGACGGGUGAGUAAUGUCUGGGAAACUGCCCGAUGGCGGGGGAUAACUACUGGAAACGGUAGCUAAUACCGCAUACCAUCGGAUGUGCCCAGAUGGGAUUAGCUCGUAGGGGGGGUAACGGCUCACCUAGGCGACGAUCCCUAGCUGGUCUGAGAGGAUGACAAGCCAUACCGGAACUGAGACAAGGUCCAGACUCCGCCGGGAGGCAGAAGUGGUGAUGAUUGCACAAUGGGCGCAAGCCUGAUGCAGCCAUGCCGCGUGUAUGAAGAAGGCCUUCGGGUUGUAAAGUACUUUCAGCGAGGAGGCGUUACUCGCAGAAGAAGCACCGGCUAACUCCGGGCCAGCAGCCGCGGUAAUUC
rnacentral:rRNA from 1 species